UACGAAGGGGGCUAGCGUUGCUCGGAAUCACUGGGCGUAAAGCGCACGUAGGCGGGUCGUUAAGUCGGGGGUGAAAUCCUGGAGCUCAACUCCAGAACUGCCUUCGAUACUGGCGACCUUGAGUCCGGGAGAGGUGAGUGGAACUCCGAGUGUAGAGGUGAAAUUCGUAGAUAUUCGGAAGAACACCAGUGGCGAAGGCGGCUCACUGGCCCGGUACUGACGCUGAGGAGCGAAAGCAUGGGGAGCGAACAGG
rnacentral:rRNA from 1 species